UACGUAGGCAGCGAGCGUUGUUCGGAGUUACUGGGCUUAAAGCGUGCGUAGGCGGUGGCCCAAGUCUGGUGUGAAAUCUCCCGGCUCAACCGGGAGGGUGCGCCGGAAACUGGGUCGCUCGAGUACUGGAGAGGCAAGCGGAAUUCCUGGUGUAGCGGUGAAAUGCGUAGAUAUCGAGAGGAACACCUGCGGCGAAGGCGGGUUGCUGGGCUGACACUGACGCUGAGGCGCGAAAGCUAGGGGAGCGAACGGG
rnacentral:rRNA from 1 species